AUACGGAGGGUCCAAGCGUUAUCCGGAAUCAUUGGGUUUAAAGGGUUCGCAGGCGGUCAAUUAAGUCAGAGGUGAAAGCCCAUCGCUCAACGAUGGAACUGCCUUUGAUACUGGUUGACUUGAGUUAUACGGAAGUAGAUAGAAUAAGUAGUGUAGCGGUGAAAUGCAUAGAUAUUACUUAGAAUACCGAUUGCGAAGGCAGUCUACUACGUAUAUACUGACGCUGAGGGACGAAAGCGUGGGGAGCGAACAGGAUUAGAAACCCGAGUAGUCC
rnacentral:rRNA from 1 species